CGUGUGGAGUUUGGCGGGACGAGCCGAAGGCGAAGCAACCAACCACACGAGUAAAAAAAAUCCAUCCCAACAGUCCAGAUAUUAUUUUUCCGCAGUGAUUUUCAACUUCUGAAGUUUCAUACUUCCCAGUAUGUAGUAUCAAUUCCAGCACGAAAAAUCGUGAGAAGCAGUACGGAAAAAUUAUUUUUCUAACUUAAUUAAAUUGUUAAACAUAAUACUUUCUAUCGUCAAAUUGUGAAAAUCUCAAUGUUUUAAUGCAAGAAGAGAGCAAUCGAUUUCUCCUUGUGUAAGAACCUUCAUAUCUGGUUUUUAAUAAUUAAUUUCCGGGAAGUUGUGAAGUGGUAAACUAGAAUAAGUACAUUUUUUCUUGGUCGGGCUUCAGUAAAUAUCUUAAGCUUCAAGGAAGAUAGUGAUUAUUUUCAUGAUAUCUUGUUUGUCGCUUUAAUUUUUUCACCAUCAAAGGCGUAUGUGCUAAAAUAUCACUAUCGUCCUUCAAUUCUUAUAUUUCAGUUGAGAACUAGUUUGCCACUUCGCACUGAUUUGCUGAACAUUUUUUAACAUACUACUCUACUAUUGGAAAAUUAUUCCGAAAGGUCGCAGUAAAACUUUCCAGAGAAUAAUGAUUCUCCGUAUUUCUACAUAGUCUUCAUCAUCUAAGAACAUCAAUCAGUGGCUUAUUAUUGUCAUUUGUCAACGAAUUUCUUAGUUUUAUUUUUAUUUGAUUCUGAAUUAUUUACAACGUCUUGCAUCUGCAAGAAAAGUCCCAAGGCAUUGAUGAGAUUCAAAGAGGAUAAUUUUUUUAUUCUUGGAAAGAGGAUAGAUUUUUUUUUUAUUUCAGGAAAACUCGUAUAUACCCUUUUUUUUUGCAACAUUGAAGUUGAGUCCGAAAAAGUGUCUGCUCGAGCUUUUUUUUCAACACACACCACGUGUCUGUACUGUGCAUCUCUUGUCUCAAAUCGAAAGUCCUUGAAUGAACAAACAACACAUGAACAAAUUUUAGAUACUCUCUUGACAAUAAAAAUGACAUUCCUAUCGUGUCAAA